UACGCAGGGUGCAAGCGUUGUCCGGAAUUAUUGGGCGUAAAGAGCUCGUAGGCGGUUUGUCGCGUCUGCUGUGAAAACUCAGGGCUUAACUCUGAGCUUGCAGUGGGUACGGGCAGACUAGAGUGCGGUAGGGGAGACUGGAAUUCCUGGUGUAGCGGUGAAAUGCGCAGAUAUCAGGAGGAACACCGGUGGCGAAGGCGGGUCUCUGGGCCGUAACUGACGCUGAGGAGCGAAAGCCAGGGGAGCAAACGGG
rnacentral:rRNA from 1 species